rnacentral:rRNA from 1 species
AUUGAACGCUGGCGGCAUGCCUUACACAUGCAAGUCGAACGGCAGCACGGGGGCAACCCUGGUGGCGAGUGGCGAACGGGUGAGUAACACAUCGGAACGUGCCCAGUAGUGGGGGAUAGCUCGGCGAAAGCCGGAUUAAUACCGCAUACGACCUACGGGUGAAAGCGGGGGAUCGCAAGACCUCGCGCUAUCGGAGCGGCCGAUGUCAGAUUAGGUUGUUGGGGGGUAAAGGCCUACCAAGCCGACGAUCUGUAGCUGGUCUGAGAGGACGACCAGCCACACUGGGACUGAGACACGGCCCAGACUCCUACGGGAGGCAGCAGUGGGGAAUUUGGACAAUGGGCGCAAGCCUGAUCCAGCCAUGCCGCGUGCGGGAAGAA